GACGAACGCUGGCGGCAGGCCUAAAACAUGCAAGUCGAACGCCCUAGCAAUAGGGAGUGGCAGACGGGUGAGUAACACGUGGGAACGUGCCUUUUGGUUCGGAACAACACAGGGAAACUUGUGCUAAUACCGGAUAAGCCCUUACGGGGAAAGAUUUAUCGCCAAAAGAUCGGCCCGCGUCUGAUUAGCUAGUUGGUGGGGUAACGGCCCACCAAGGCUACGAUCAGUAGCUGGUCUGAGAGGAUGAUCAGCCACACUGGGACUGAGACACGGCCCAGACUCCUACGGGAGGCAGCAGUUAGGAAUCUUGGACAAUGGGCGCAAGCCUGAUCCAGCCAUGCCGCGUGAGUGAUGAAGGCCUUAGGGUUGUAAAGCUCUUUCGGCGGGGAAGAUAAUGACGGUACCCGCAGAAGAAGCCCCGGCUAACUUCGUGCCAGCCGCCGCCGUAA
rnacentral:rRNA from 1 species